rfam:Oryza sativa (indica cultivar-group) chromosome 7, whole genome shotgun sequence.
AAUAAGCGCAACUGUGGGUUUCAAUGCCUAAUAUUUGACCAUCCGUCUUAUAUAAAUUUUUUUUAUGAUUAGUAUUUUAUUGUUAUUGGAUGAUAAAAUACAAAUAUUACUUUAUGCGUGACUUAAUAUUUUAAUUUUUUUUAUAAAUUUUUUAAAUAAGACGGAUGGUCAAACGUUGGACAUGGAAAGUUAUGACUGCACUUAUA